CAAUAGCGUAUAUUAAAGUUGUUGCAGUUAAAAAGCUCGUAGUUGGAUUUCGGGGCAGCCUGGCCGGUCCGCCGCAAGGCGAGUACUGGUCAGCCGCCCUUCCUCUCGAAAGCCCCGACUGCUCUUCGUUGCAGUGGUCGGGUAGUUCGGGACGUUUACUUUGAAAAAAUUAGAGUGUUCAAGGCAGGCCUACGCCUGAAUACAUUAGCAUGGAAUAAUGGAAGAGGACCUCGGUCCUAUUUUGUUGGUUUCCAGGGCCGAAGUAAUGAUUAAGAGGGACAGUUGGGGGCAUUCGUAUUUAAUUGUCAGAGGUGAAAUUCUCGGAUUUAUGAAAGACGAACAACUGCGAAAGCAUUUGCCAAGGAUGUUUUCAUUAA
rnacentral:rRNA from 1 species